GUGCCAGCCGCAGCGGUAAUACGGAGGGAGCUAGCGUUGUUCGGAAUUACUGGGCGUAAAGCGCGCGUAGGCGGUUUUUAAGUCAGAGGUGAAAGCCCGGGGCUCAACCCCGGAAUAGCCUUUGAAACUGGAAAACUAGAAUCUUGGAGAGGUCAGUGGAAUUCCGAGUGUAGAGGUGAAAUUCGUAGAUAUUCGGAAGAACACCAGUGGCGAAGGCGACUGACUGGACAAGUAUUGACGCUGAGGUGCGAAAGCGUGGGGAGCAAACAGGAUUAGAUACCCGUGGUAGUCCACGCCGUAAACGAUGAAUAACUAGCUGUCCGGUUCAUAGAACUUGGG
rnacentral:rRNA from 1 species